UUAUCUCUCUCUCAUUCGGCUGGGUCAUCUCUUUACCAUUCUUUGUGAGUUUGGAGCUGGAAUUCCAGAGUAAGCUCAGGAUGGAGCUUAGGGCUAAGAACCUUGGUGAAGCUAAAAGAACUAGCAGGGUUUAGCUAGUCGAUUGAGGGAUAUGAACCUGAGGAGUUGAAGGGCUUGAGGCUGGUUGGAUGCUAGGAAUAACCUAAGGUCGAAAUCCUCCAUAGAAGGUAACAAGUUCUGGCUAUGAUGUUCUAAGUAUCUGAGUUUCUGGUUGAAUCUUUCAGUUCUUGGGUUCAAUGUUUGUUUUUCUAGUUUGAUGAUGCAUGUGGUUAAGUCUUGUGUUAUUGAGUUGUAUGGGGUGAGAUAUAGGUGAUGGUAGACUCAAUUUGGUGUGUAAUUGAGGGUUGGAAGGGUUCCAAGGGGUUUUGGUUCGAGGAAAGUCGAAGAGGGGAAAACAGAGUGCUGCUGGUCUGUGACUAGCGCUGUAGCGCUAGCCUUUGGGCACUACAGCGCUAGGCUAGGGCUUCCUGGGCGUUUUGGUUCUGCUUGUAGCGCUAUAGCGCCCUCCUUAGAGCGAUGUAGCGCUACCCUGUCUCCAGAAAUGGGUUUUUGAGUUUUUCCUUAGGAUUUUUGCCUGUAGGCUCGGGGUUUGAUUCCACCACCCCGUUUGGUGGAAUUAGGGCUUCCCGAGGGCUCGGGAUUGGUCCCAAGGCUAGGUUUUGGAUUUGAAGUUUGGUGGUGAUUCUGAUCUAUGGCUGUGACUAGGUACGCACUAAGGUUCAGACGGGAUCGUGCUUGAGGAUCAAUUGAACGAGCUAGCGAGAUCUAAAGGUAAAGGCGAGGGUAGGCUGAGUCAACCAUGAGCUGGAGAGCUCUGGGCGCGAGGUGUACAUUGUCAGCUUCUCGGGCGCCACAGUUGAGGAAUUGUACAGGGACGAAAACCUAAAAUGUAUAUUUUGCCAUUAGAGUGGCUUAAAUUAUUUGUAACUCUUUGAAUUUGCUGUAACUAAGUCAUCUAAACCCUGUUUUGAGUUUCCAUGUAUUAAACUGUCAUUUUUAAUGAAAAUAGCCUGUU